rnacentral:rRNA from 1 species
AGUGAACGCUGGCGGUAGGCCCAACACAUGCAAGUCGAACGGCAGCACAGGAGAACUUGCUCUCUGGGUGGCGAGUGGCGGACGGGGGAGGAAUACAUCGGAAUCUACUUUUUCGUGGGGGAUAACGUAGGGAAACUUACGCUAAUACCGCAUACGACCUACGGGUGAAAGCAGGGGACCUUCGGGCCUUGCGCGAUUGAAUGAGCCGAUGUCGGAUUAGCUAGUUGGCGGGGUAAAGGCCCACCAAGGCGACGAUCCGUAGCUGGUCUGAGAGGAUGAUCAGCCACACUGGAACUGAGACACGGUCCAGACUCCUACGGGAGGCAGCAGUGGGGAAUAUUGGACAAUGGGCGCAAGCCUGAUCCAGCCAUACCGCGUGGGUGAAGAAGGCCUUCGGGUUGUAAAGCCCUUUUGUUGGGAAAGAAAUCCAGCUGGCUAAUACCCGGUUGGGAUGACGGUACCCAAAGAAUAAGCACCGGCUAACUUCGUGCCAGCCGCCGCGGUAA